CAUUGUGGGAGCUUUCGGGCGGCGGGGGAGCGCGGCGCGGCCCUCGGGCACACCCGGGCCAGACUCCAACGGCCCCUCGUGCGUCGGCCCGCCGCGCGCAGAGGCCUGCGGACCCGAAAGCCAGACGCCGUGAGCUGUAAUCAUGUCCCUGUUAAGGUUUCCUGGGAUCACACCAAAUGUUUUUCUUUGAUGGGAUGUGUAAAUAACUCUACUUGCAGAUUCUAAUUAUAUUCUUGGAAAAAAUAUGUAACUAGAAAGGGCUUUAGAGGCUGAGCUCUCUAUACCCUUGCAAUGGUCAUGGUUACCUGUGCCACCAUUAGACCAAGUAUGUCUUUGGAAGCAGUUUGGGACAAUUUCAGAGGAGCCCACAUGUCUUGUCUCUGUGAAUACAGAACGUGCAGUUGUCAAGCAAGAAACCAGCAUCCCUUGGUGAGUUCUGCAGUCAGUAAGCUGUGAGUAGUCAGUCAGCCUCACAGAGAACAGCCCUCUGCAGUAUUUAAGACACUACUCAACCUCAGAUCAAGCUGCUCAAAUUUGCCUUUUACUCAAGAUCAAGCAUCUUCAGAAGUCAUGCUGUAAGCAGUAGGGAAACUAUCAAGUUGAACUGAAACAGAACAGCUAAAAAGAAGAAAACAAAUGUGUACUUGACAGAUGCAAAGAGGCUGAGUGUUCACUGGGGCCCUUUUUGUUUCCCCUGGACUAAUUUAAGAAUCUUCUGCCAUGAAGCUUGUUCUAGUUUGCAUUUCAAUAUGUUUCCCUUAAUAUUAAACCAUGAACUUUCCAUGGGCCAAUUAAACAAAAAUGAAAUAGAGGUCAGUCUCUUCCUGAAUUCCUGUCAAUUAUGAACAUUCUUUCUCUACACUUGGUCACCUUCUCACUGUGACUGCCAAUCUAAGAUCCUCAUUGCAGGUAGCAAUCACAUUCCUGGUGAUUAGACCAGAAUAAAAGCUCAAUUGCAAGUUGUUCUCAUCCCUCCCUGGAAGAGAUCAUGCAUAUGUGAGUCUUAGUCUCUUUUUCUUCCCAAACUAAAAUGUGUCUCUCCCUCUGCUUCUCUCUUACAUGUACACGUAGACAGGUAUAUGUGAUGCCUUCUCUCUUCCUUUGUCUUUCCUAUUUCUAGAAUCCUCCCUUUCUAUAUUUCUAUUCAUUAUUUUUCUCCCUCCCAUAUUGUUCCCCAAACUACCUUUAAUGUACAGCUGGUAAAUAUAAGUAUUUGUCUUGUGAUAAAAUUUGGAGGAAAAAGCAAAGUUGUACAUCUUGGUGUUUAUUUGAACUAAGAAACUCUGUCUUCUACAGUAAGUUCACUUUGACUACAUCAAAGUAUUUGUUUCCUGCCCAUGCUCUACCUUAUCCUAAUGUAAUUAAAUUUCACUUUCUUUUAUAAAAUAUACCUUAAAACUAUUUCUAGUCAACAGUUUUCUACUUUGAGUACUAUAGUACAGUAUUGUCUUCCACUGCUGUUCAUCGCAGACAUGCUACAUAAGGUAAAUUAGCCCUUUUGAAAUAAUUUUGGAAACUGGCCAUUUUCAGAACAUUGUUUCUAUGAGAAAAUGAAUUUCCAGCCUUUAGAACAUGAUUUAUUUUAAAAGUUAGCUAUUUCCUAUGCCUGUUUGGUAACAAAAAUCUUUUUGAUGUGGUGACCUCAAAUCAGAAAGACCUGCCUUGGUUUUUACCUUGUUAAAUAUUUUCAUAAUUGAAACGGAUUAACCUAUUUAUUUCUUGUAUUUUGUCAUGUGUGUAACAUUCUAGAGAGACCUUGCAAUGCAUACUGUUGGUUUAUUUAUAGUUUUUCACAAUCAAAAGGCAUAUGAAAGCUGCAGUUUUCUGCUAUUUCUAUUCUUCCACUCUUCCUGGGCACAUGGAGAGAUUAUCUUUUCUAAUCUCCCUAUUAGCUUGUUGACAUGGUCGUGUGACUGGAUAUUUGUCAAUGGAAUAUGGAUGCUGGUGGUUUGUGAAACUUCUCCCUCAUUUGUGUAAGAGGAAAUCCCUAGCCAGGGACUGUCUCCCUGUCCCCUGUUUAGCUAGUUGCAAUGGUGACUACCAGAGCACCCCGGAAGCCAACUGUUGAUGGCAGAGCUGCCACCAGACUGUUGCUGGUGACUGUCGGAAGCAGAGCUCACCAAGGUAGGUCGCUUACCUGGAACUGUUACCUGGGAAACAGAUAAACUUCAUGUUUUAGAAAACAUUUUAGUUUUAAUAGAUACAUAAUAAUUGUAUGUACUUAUGAGGUGUGAUUUUAAUACAGCAUGCAGUGAUUUAUUGAGUAUAAUUAGCAUAUCCAUCACCUCAAAUGUUUAUCAUUUCCUUGUGGUGAGAACAUUCAAAAUCCUUAUAAAUUAUUAUUAAGUCUAGUCAGCAAAUUGUGCUAUUGAAUGCUAGAACUUUUUCCUCUUAUCUACUUGCUAGCCAACCUCUCCCUAAUGGUCCUCCCCCUACUUUUCUUUUUCUUUUAAUUUUUAAAAUUUGUUCUAAUUAGUUAUAUAUGACAGUAGAAAUCAUUUAUGCACUUUGAUAUAUCAUACAUAAAUAAAGUGUAAUUUCUUGUUUUCCUGAUUGAACAUGUUGUAGAAUCAUGUUGGUCAUGCUAUCGUGUAUGUACCUAAGAUAUAAUGUCUGUCUCAUUCUACUUUUCCAUUGAAUUUUUGGGUUCUCUUUCUUAUAGCAGCUUAGCCUACUCUAAUACUGCUACAAUGAGUAGUUUCAAUCUUGUUGUAAAGUAUUUUACCUCAAUAUGCUGAAUGAUAAAACUACAUAUGUGAGAAGUAAUUUUCUUAAGAAAACAAAACACUAGACAUUUUCAGCUAUUUACUUAGGUUCUGAUAGUGAAUUUUUCUAAACAUUCAAAAAUGUAUAAGGCUAAUUUAAUCUUUUAGUCAAACAUAAAAAAUUGUUUACCAAAACCAGA